rnacentral:rRNA from 1 species
UACGUAGGCAGCAAGCGUUGUUCGGAGUUACUGGGCGUAAAGGGUGUGUAGGCGGUUCUUUAAGUUUGCUGUGAAAUCUCCCGGCUUAACCGGGAGGGUGCGGUGAAUACUGAGGGACUAGAGUACGGGAGAGGAAAGUGGAAUUCCUGGUGUAGCGGUGAAAUGCGUAGAUAUCGAGAGGAACACCUGCGGCGAAGGCGGGUUGCUGGGCUGACACUGACGCUGACAGCGCGAAAGCUAGGGGAGCGAACGGG